GGGGGCAUCAACGAGGGAGAGCACGUCCACCCAGCUCCAGGCCCCCGGGCCGAGGAGGGGGCGUGGGAGCUGGGCCCUGGGACCCGGAUCCAGCACCCAGUUCGCAUUCGUGUGUCAGCAGGGCCCCUUUGGGAUGGUAUAAACUUACUCAGCUCCAAAUACAGCCUAGUAUCCUGCUCUGCAUUCAAGAGGACCAUUUUUUUUCCACAUGAAAAGUCUUAUGGAUACAGGAACUUCUCAAACCAGUGUCAAGUUUUCAUUGUAAGGAAAUAGCAGCAGUGGUUAAGAGUUCGCUCCAAAUGCUCAUCUUCUUCUUCAGCCCUGGAAGUCAAACGGAAACAAAU